rnacentral:rRNA from 1 species
GACGAACGCUGGCGGCGUGCUUAACACAUGCAAGUCGAACGGAAAGGCCCUGCUUUUGUGGGGUGCUCGAGUGGCGAACGGGUGAGUAACACGUGAGUAACCUGCCCUUGACUUUGGGAUAACUUCAGGAAACUGGGGCUAAUACCGGAUAGGAGCUCCUGCUGCAUGGUGGGGGUUGGAAAGUUUCGGCGGUUGGGGAUGGACUCGCGGCUUAUCAGCUUGUUGGUGGGGUAGUGGCUUACCAAGGCUUUGACGGGUAGCCGGCCUGAGAGGGUGACCGGCCACAUUGGGACUGCGAUACGGCCCAGACUCCUACGGGAGGCAGCAGUGGGGAAUAUUGCACAAUGGGCGGAAGCCUGAUGCAGCAACGCCGCGUGCGGGAUGACGGCCUUCGGGUUGUAACCCGCUUUCGCCUGUGACGAAGCGUGAGUGACGGUAAUGGGUAAAGAAGCACCGGCUAACUACGUG